rnacentral:rRNA from 1 species
UACGUAGGGUGCAAGCGUUGUCCGGAAUUAUUGGGCGUAAAGAGCUCGUAGGCGGCUUGUCACGUCGGGUGUGAAAGACCGGGGCUUAACCCCGGUUCUGCAUUCGAUACGGGCUGGCUAGAGUACGGAAGAGGCGAGUGGAAUUCCCGGUGUAGCGGUGAAAUGCGCAGAUAUCGGGAGGAACACCAAUUGCGAAGGCAGCUCGCUGGGACGUUACUGACGCUGAGACGCGAAAGCGUGGGGAGCGAACAGG